GCCUUCGUGGUGUAGUGGUCAGCGCGCUCGGCGCGUAUUCGAGAGGUCCAUGGUUCGAGUCCCGGCAAGGGCA
rnacentral:tRNA from 1 species